AAAUGUGUGCCUUCUAGUUUUCUUAUUUAAUCACCUUAAACUACUCAAUUUUUAAAGUUUCACUGUAUUGACAGUGUCAUCCUAAGAUCCUUACAAGUACAAAAGAAGACUAAUAUUCAAACAGAAAGUUGAAAACUGGAUUGUUCAUUAUUGUUUUGUCUGUAAUACAGAACAUUGUUCACGGCCACCUGUCACCUGACCACACCCAUGUUGCAGCCCUGGAGUCCCCUUACCAAUCAAUCCAAAUGCCCUCACCAGCUCAAGGGAUCUCAUCUCCGAGGACUCAGCAUUCAAGACCCCAGGAACAUUCUUGCUGAAUAAACAUUGAGGCUUUGCAAGUCAUGAAUUUUCCCAGGAUGGCUUGGACUAAUGAUUCUCCUGCUUCAGCCUCCCAGACUGCUGGGAUUACAGGUAUGUAACACCACA